GCGGAAGUUGUGCAGCUCGAAGUCGGCGUCGACCUGGAGGGAAAAGGUCACCUCGGAGAGGUCCCUCCGCACACAGUACACGGUUUCACAGGCCUGUUGCAGGGUGCCCACACAUCCUGGUCUGCACGCUGGGACCUCGACUUCAUGAACUGACGUGUGGAUAACCAGGCUCCGCCGCCUCACUCACGAGAAGCUGAAUUAGUUCUCUAAAUUCACAAUGAUAACUGGAAGGACAAAUGAGAUAAAAUACAGCAAGUGUUGAAUUCAGAAGGAAAUUGGAAUGUAAAAAAAGUCAUCAUGAAACAGGACAAAUACUUUAUCAUACCACUGAUUUUAUUAUACUACAGGAAAUAUUGUAUCACGCAUGCUUUAUUUGUGUGAGAUCUCUAUCUGUACUUCAAGCAUUGAUCUUUAUCCUCCAAACACGUAUAUGAAGAUGUUCUGGGACUUCCCUGGUGGUCCAGUGGGUAAGACUCCGCGCUCCCAAUGCAGGGGGCCCGGGUUCCAUCCCGGGUCGGAGAACUAGAUCCCACAUGCAUGCCGCAGCUAAGAGUUCGCAUGCUGCAACUAAGAGUCCGGGUGCCACAAUGAAGAUCCCACGUGUCGCAAUGAAGACCCCGAGCAGCCUAAAUAAAUAAAUAUUAAAAAAAAGAAAAGAAAAGGAAUGCAUCGGAGACUGGCCGGGGCUUUGAAAAAUCUAAACGUAUUCCUCAAGAAAAAAAUCAAAUGGUGCAAAGAUAACAUUAAGAUAGCCCAUUAUAUUAUCAAAUUGUUGAGGUGUCAGGAUGAAAUCUGAUGGACUAAACCAUCUAAACUGUAUGUCACCUGAUUGAGUGAUUGAAUGAGAGCUCUGUCCAUUUUCUGAAUUCUCCUCCUUUCUUUGUUAGAUGAUCAAGCAGAAGUUUUCUGUGCCCUCUCCUGGUUUGACUUUGAAACUGCAUAACAGGGAUCUUUAAACUUCAUUGGGUGGGGCUUUUCUUCAGUAAAUUCUCGCUCUCCCUCCCCUUCCUCUUGCGUUCGAAGGCUCAUUUUGAACUACAGAGAGACAGAGGGGCCGGAAGAACUGUUCAAUCAUUCACUCACCUACUAAACAUUUAUUAUAUUCGUUUUUCUUUAACAAAGCACUGCCCUUGGAGGUCAGCCAAAAGGAAGAAGCAGAUAUUGGAACUUAAAAUUUACUAGAACAGAGCUUCGGAAUCUUCUUCCUGUCACGGCACACAUAGAAAAUUACACAAUUUUAAGAACGUAAAUGGGAAAAGAAUUUGAAAAAGGAUAGAUACACGUAUAUAUAUAACUGAAGCACUUUGCUGUACACCUGAAA